UCAUGUAAUGUAAAUGAAUAAAUCUUUACAACCUCCUCACACUUCACACUUCACAUUUUUUUUAAUUUUUAUUAUUUUUUUCUUUUAUCAAAUAUUUAUUAUAUGAAUAAUGAAUAGAAAAUUUGAAAUAAUUUAAAAAGAAUAAACU